ACCCUUGUGGAGGAGGACGCCGAAGGUGGGGCUAAUGACUGGGGUGAAGUCGUAACAAGGUAGCCGUACCGGAAGGUGCGGCUGGAUCACCUCCUAACAGGGAGACAACAAAAUGUUAAAUAUUAAUUUUGUCACCUUAGGUCGAUCGGUAUCUCACAUUCUUAAUUUAUUAAGAAUUUUAUUUCCUAAGUUUUUUCUAGGUCACACCCAUUACUUUUUCCUGGGCCAUUAGCUCAGGUGGUUAGAGCGCACCCCUGAUAAGGGUGAGGUCCCUGGUUCAAGUCCAGGAUGGCCCAUAUCUCUAUGUUGGGGGUAUAGCUCAGUUGGUAGAGCGCCUGCUUUGCAAGCAGGAUGUCAGCGGUUCGAGUCCGCUUACCUCCACUGAUCACCACCUCUUCCAUAAUCUUAUAGAAGGGAAAUGUUUUGAGUUGUGAUCAAAUUCUGAACGAAUCUAGCUUCCUAAUAAAACUUAUUAAGAUGCUGGACUCAUUGAAUUAAUUUCAUUGUUUUCAGAGAACCUUGACAACUGCAUAGAUUAUUUUUAAAGACAAUAAGCAUCUUUAAUGAUGCAGAUUUAUUAUUUGUGCGAAUGCAUUAAUAACAAUUCUAUUAAGCUGAUGCUUCAAUUUUUGAAGUUAUUGGUCAAGCUACAAAGGGCUCACGGAGGAUACCUAGGCACACAGAGGCGAUGAGGU
rnacentral:misc_RNA from 1 species